rnacentral:ncRNA from 1 species
GCCUCUCAAAAGAUAACGGAGGCGUGCAAAGGUUUCCUCGGGCCGGAUGGAGAUUGGCCCUCGAGUGCAAAGGCAGAAGGGAUCUUGACUGCAAGACCCACCCGUCGAGCAGGGACGAAAGUCGGCCUUAGUGAUCCGACGGUGCCGAGUGGAGCCUUACAAU